GAUUGUGGGAGCUGCUGGCAUCUCAGAUGUCAGCUCUUCUUAAAUGUAUUAGCAAAACCUUUGCUGACCAUCAUUGGUGUGAUAAUUAUCUAUGCCAUUGAGAAUCAGCUCCUUAUGGAGGGUUUAGCUUCUAAUAGUCCUUUUGGACAACAACUUGACAAUUUGACCUCAAAUCAGGUAGGACUACCCGCUGAACUUAA
rnacentral:misc_RNA from 1 species